AUUGAACGCUGGCGGCAUGCUUUACACAUGCAAGUCGAACGGUAACAGGCCGCAAGGUGCUGACGAGUGGCGAACGGGUGAGUAAUGCAUCGGAACGUGCCCAGUCGUGGGGGAUAACUGCUCGAAAGAGCAGCUAAUACCGCAUACGAUCUAUGGAUGAAAGCGGGGGACCGUAAGGCCUCGCGCGAUUGGAGCGGCCGAUGUCAGAUUAGGCAGUUGGUGAGGUAAAGGCUCACCAAGCCAACGAUCUGUAGCUGGUCUGAGAGGACGACCAGCCACACGGGGACUGGGACACGGCCCAGACUCCUACGGGAGGCAGCAGUGGGGAAUUUUGGACAAUGGGGGCAACCCUGAUCCAGCAAUGCCGCGUGCAGGAAGAGGGCCUUCGGGUUGUAAACUGCUUUUGUACGGAACGAAACGGUCUGGGUUAAUACCCUGGGCUAAUGACGGUACCGUAAGAAUAAGCACCGGCUAACUACGUGCCAGCCGCCGCAGUAACAC
rnacentral:rRNA from 1 species